UACGAAGGGGGCUAGCGUUGUUCGGAAUCACUGGGCGUAAAGGGCGCGUAGGCGGCUGUUCAAGUCGGGGGUGAAAUCCUGUGGCUCAACCACAGAAUGGCCUUCGAUACUGGACGGCUAGAGACCGGAAGAGGUGAGUGGAACUGCGAGUGUAGAGGUGAAAUUCGUAGAUAUUCGGAGGAACACCAGUGGCGAAGGCGGCUCACUGGUCCAUUACUGACGCUGAGGUGCGAAAGCGUGGGGAGCAAACAGG
rnacentral:rRNA from 1 species